GCCACGACAUUCUUGACGUUGCUUAGAAAGAGGGAAGAUAGAGUUGAUGGGAAUAGGAAGAGAAGGAGGGAUGAUGGGAGAAAAGAACGCCUAAGAAACUUUUUAUGGGCCGCUGUGACCCACCUCUCCACCUCUCUUUCAUCUACAGGUGCUGAGGCCAGGGGAAGAUACCUUCACACUCUGUGGACAAAGAGGACGAGAAGGCUAACAUCCAUCACCACAGACCUGUCCACUGCUCCUGGCGAAGGAGAGGAGAAGAGCAAGAUAAAUCCCUUGUUUUGGGCUGUAAGAAUGCACGAUACAGCAUGCCUGACCUUGAACACUUCGGAAAACAUCUAUUUCCUGCUUAAGCUCCAUUAUCAAGAGGAAUGGAUGUCAAUUAUUCAUAAAACACUUAGGGAAGGUGGUAACAUAAGAGUUUUAAAUUAUUUAACAUGGGAAAAUAUUCAGUUUAGAGGUACAAAUGAACGUGUUUGUAGUGAAAACAGAUUUUAUGUGCUAGUUAGCUUGUGUGUGUAUCAAAAGGCCUAAUCUUUCAUGUGUUUACCAGGUACACUUAUGUAAUCCAGUGAGGAAUGGCAGGAACGAACAAACAGAAAGGUGUGAGUAGAAGCUUACAAAUGUGCACACACACUUCAUGGUUGCAGACAUUGAAUAAGUGUCAGGGUAAACAGUAGUUUCUCUUGUAAACAGGAAUGGCUUUACGCAUACUUUGCAACACGUGUUCCACGCUAUCAUGACUGCGGGAACUUGCUCAAACGUGUAAGCUUGCAUUCCCUGUGCCUUUCAUUAUAGUGUUUAAUGAUCUUCUUUCUGGCUCUAUUUCUCAUCUCUCAUCUCCUUGACCUCUGUUUAAGCACUCUGCUAUGUUGACCCAUUAAUCAAGAUUAAAUGGAUACAGUAAUUCAACGAGCAACUUGCUUCAUUUUAACAUUACCUCAGUCAAGAUGACUACAGACUGAAAGAUAAAGCAAAAGGGAUCAUAUUGAAAUAUGAGUCCAGAUUAGAUUCACAAACAACAAGCAUGUAAUGGGUUAUCAAAAAGAAGAUUCUUACGCUCACCUCAGAAUGCAAACUCACACAAAAUCUCACUCGCAUCCACAGACAUCCAGACAUGUGCAUGAGGGGAAGAUUGUAAGGAAUGAUUUUCAGUGUGUUUUAGCUGGUGGAAAUAAACCAUAAAAGCUGACAGACAGUAAAAGCUGGCAGUAAAAGCUGGCAGACAGUAAAAGCUGUUAUUAUCAUGUUUCAGCAGCUUUAGCCACUCAGAGAGAAAGAAAAUGAGAGACAAGAUGAGAGAGAGAAUCUUUCCUCAAGUACACUUUAAA
rnacentral:lncRNA from 1 species